ensembl:snoRNA SNORD29 Small nucleolar RNA SNORD29
UUUUAAUGAUGAGUCUAACUAGCUCACUUUGAUUUCAUAUGAAGCCGUGAAAACAUUGGAACAGCUGAGAAAC